GAAACAGAGCCUCCGAUUGCCCUGGUCUCUCCCAAAUCGCCGCCACCAACCGUCUCCUCUCCCUCCUCCGCCCCACCUCGCCGCCGGCCCUUCUCCUUCCAAUCUCCCACCUCGCAACCCCGGAGGCUACCGGAUCCGCCGCACCCCCACCCACCCAUCCCUCGCGCGUCCAAUUUCUCUCUUCACGCGGCUCCUCGUCGCGCCACCGGCAGUGGCUGCUUCCGGCGACGUUCGGCCAAUCCCGCCACCGCGGAACACAUCCCGAGGUCCUCUCGCAUCGCGGCACCGGCGAUGUCGUCCUCGUCUCAUCCGACGUGCAGGGAGGAACGGCCACUGGACAGCCUUGCUGCUGCUCGGGACGAAGCAACCAUGUAGCUUUCUCCUCCUCCUCUGGCUUCGGAACUCGGAGGAGAAAUCAGAAUUGUCGUCAAAGUAACAACUAUGAAAGAGAUAAAAAGGUGCAUGGAGAAGGAUGUUAACGGAGUGACAAAGGUUGCAAAACUCAACGGAAUCAAAAUGACAACACUAGAAUAAAGAGCUCCAUGUACCAUCGAGCCUGUGUGGAUUAUUUGCAGCAGCAAGUGCCGAACGGCAGCAGCUUGCAUGUGCACGAUGGUAUGGAAGGUUAAUCAUGAUGAUUGCAUACAAAAUACGUAUGCCCCUGUUGCAACGCACGGCAAUUACCUAGUAUAUUUUUAAAAUUAGAAAUGUACAAUCUGAUGCAUCUACACGAAAAGACAUGAAGUUGACUGGAUAAGUUGCAUGCACCAACUGGAUGGAAGGGGACGCUAUGGAGCAAGUCGAGUUCGUGGAGCAAGUCAUGGAUGAUGCCAUGGAAGAUUCAAAAGAUAUAUGGAUGAUUAUAUGGGUGCGUGACAAGUAUACUGCAAUUAUGUGAUGAUGAUGUUCCGGUUCAUGAUGAUGAUGAUGUUCUGGUUCAUGAUGAUGAUGAUGAUGGAUGCUUUCAGUUUUAGUUAAGUUGUAGGGAUGUUGUUCUUGUUGGAUGUUGUUCCUAGGUUAAGUUUUUGUUAAGUUGUAGGGAUGUUGAUGAAUGCUUUCAGUUUAAGUUUCGCUGUCAAAAAUAUAUUUAGAUUAUGCAUCACAUUUGGAUGAUGUACCCCUUUAAUAUCCACUAUUGUAAUCCAACAGUUUUAUCAAUAUAUAUGUUUUCUUUCUC